rnacentral:tRNA from 1 species
UAGGUGCUGUAAGUAAUUGGUAACUGGCCGGGUUUUGGUCCCGGAGUUGCAGGUUCGAGUCCUGCGCGCCUAG